rnacentral:rRNA from 1 species
AUGCCAUCGUCACCACCGCCUGCGGCGGCGGCACCACGAAGCCGUCGAUCCAAGAAAAAGACACGGACGUACCACGUGUCGGUGUUCUGGUUCACGCCGGUCCCGCUGCCGGAGAGGGACUGGGCGGAGCUGCACCCGGACCUGAUCUCCUGCAUCCUCCACAAGCUUGACCUGGCCGAGCUCCUGCUCGGCGGCAUGGCCGGCGUGUGCCGCUCCUGGCGGCGGGCCGCCCGCGAAGAGCCGGAGUUGUGGCGCUGCAUCGAUCUCCGCGCCGGCCUGUGGUUCGUCGUGCCAUUCCACCCCAAGUUCAGCCUCGAGGCAAUGGUGCGGGCCGCCCUGCGAUUUAACCAGGGCCAGUGCGAGGCCUUCCUGACCAACCUCGCCGACGACGAUAUCCUCCUCUUGCUCGCCAAGCAGGCACCUGCGCUAAAGUGCCUUCAUCUCCAUAGGGGCUAUGUCUCGGAUGAAGGAUUUGCGACGGUGAUUAAGAUGUUACCUCUACUUGAGGAGCUCGAGAUUUCGAAAUGUCCCCAAAUAUGUAGUAGGGGGGUAUAUGAACUUGUCGCUAGAGCAUGCCCACUGCUAAAGCACUUCAGACAUGUUUCAGGAAAGCACUGCCAUGCUGAUUACGCAAUAACAUUUGCGGCUCCAAGGAUGCGCAAACUACGUUCCUUGGAUGUUGUCGGUUGUACCUUCGGUAGGGAAGUUCUGGUAGCUAUCCUAGACAAUUGCCAUGACCUACAGUACCUUAACAUGGCAUUGUGCAACCCUGUUGCCAUUGAUAACCUACCAGAAAAGCUUGCCUAG